rnacentral:rRNA from 1 species
CCUACGGGAGGCAGCAGUAGGGAAUAUUGCGCAAUGGGGGAAACCCUGAAGCAGCAACGCCGCGUGGAGGAUGAAGGUCUUCGGAUUGUAAACUCCUGUUGUUAGAGAAGAUAAUGACGGUAUCUAACGAAUAAGCACCGGCUAACUCCGUGCCAGCAGCCGCGGUAAUACGGAGGGUGCAAGCGUUAGUCGGAAUCACUGGGCGUAAAGGGCGCGUAGGCGGGAUAGCAAGUCAGAUGUGAAAUCCCAUGGCUUAACCAUAGAACUGCAUUUGAAACUGUUAAUCUAGAGUAUGGGAGAGGAAGGUGGAAUUCUUGGUGUAGGGGUAAAAUCCGUAGAGAUCAAGAGGAAUA